AACGCACAUUGCGCCCGGUGGCAUUCCGCCGGGCAUGCCUGUUCGAGCGUCAUUUAAACCAAUCCAGCCUCGUGCUUGGGUCUUGGGCCUUUCGCCUCUGGGCGGGCCUCAAAAUCAGUGGCGGCGCCUCCUGGCUCUACGCGUAGUAAUACUCCUCGCUAUAGAUGUCUGGUGGUGUCCUGCCAAAACCCCCAUAUUUUUUAAGGUUGACCUCGGAUCAGGUAGGGAUACCCGCUGAACUUAA
rnacentral:misc_RNA from 1 species